CUACCACUGAGACAUCCCCUCCAGAGGGCCUGAGUGGCCUGACUCAUUCUCAGCCAUUUCAGUGGCACUCUUAUUCUUUUUCUAUUGUUUUUUUUUUUUGGAGGGAAAGAUUUGCCCUGAGCUAACAUCUGUUGCCAGUCUUCCUCUUUUUUUCUCCCCCUCCCCAAAGCCCCAGUGCACGGUUGUAUAUCUUAGCUAUAGGUCCUUCUAGUUCCUCUACGUGAACCACCGCCACCACAUGGAACUGACAUACAGGGUGGUAUGGUCCAUGACCUGGAAAUGAACCUGGGCCACUGAAGCAAUGAAAGUGCCUAACUUUAACCACUAGGCCAUCUGGGCUGGGUCAGCACUCUUAUUCUUAACACAAACAAAUUGAUAUUAUUAAUUAAUCUGAGAAAUAUACAUCAUACUUAAGGACAUAAUAAAACUUUCUCUGUUGUCAAGUUGCCUAAGAAGCAAAUGCACUCUAUCUAUACUGCUCUUUAGGGAGCCAAUGCAAGACAAAUGUACUCUUUCUUUCCCCCAGUUGUGAUGAGCGAGCCUAUGCAGAGAAAUGUCACCAAGAAGAUCCUUCCUACAUGUGGUUUCUAGAGCCUUGCUAGUAAAAGCGUCCUCAGCAGACCAGCAGCAUCAGUGUCACCCGGAGAUUGAUAGACAGAUGUGCAGAAUCUAAGACCAUGGCUCCAACCUACAGAAUCCGUCUCUGCAUUUUAACAAGGUCCCA
rnacentral:lncRNA from 1 species